rnacentral:rRNA from 1 species
AUUUAACGCUGGCGGCAGGCCUAACACAUGCAAGUCGAACGAGUGGCGGACGGGUGAGUAAUGUCUGGGAAACUGCCCGCUGGAGGGGGAUAACUACUGGAAACGGUAGCUAAUACCGCAUACCAUCGGAUGUGCCCAGAUGGGAUUAGCUAGUAGGGGGGGUAACGGCUCACCUAGGCGCCGAUCCCUAGCUGGUCUGAGAGGAUGACCAACCACACUGGAACUGAGACACGGUCCAGACUCCUACGGGAGGAAGCAGUGGGGAAUAUUGCACAAUGGGCGCAAGCCUGAUGCAGCCAUGCCGCGUGUAUGAAGAAGGCCUGCGGGUUGUAAAGUACUUUCAGCGAGGAGGCGUUAAUCGCAGAAGAAGCACCGGCUAACUCCGUGCCAGCCGCCGCGGUAAUUC